UACGUAGGGGGCAAGCGUUGUCCGGAAUCAUUGGGCGUAAAGCGCGUGUAGGCGGCUUGGUAAGUCCGCUCUGAAAGCCCGGGGCUCAACCCCGGGAGGCGGGUGGAUACUGUCAAGCUCGAGUCCGGAAGAGGCGAGUGGAAUUCCUGGUGUAGCGGUGAAAUGCGCAGAUAUCAGGAGGAACACCAAUGGCGAAGGCGGCAUCCUGGACCGACACUGACGCUGAGGCGCGAAAGCUAGGGUAGCAAACGGG
rnacentral:rRNA from 1 species